UUACGGCCACAUCAAGUUGAAAACCUGGUUUCCAUAUGACAACCAAAGUUAAGCAAUGUUGAGCUUGGUCAGUACCUAGAUAGGUGACCGCUUGAGAAUACCAGGUGCUGUAAG